rnacentral:ncRNA from 1 species
UUGAGCCGGAUGAAAGGAAACUUUCACGUCCGAUUUUGAGGGGGGGGGAAAAGAUAAUUCAUUGGAGUGAGUAAUGAAUGGGAAGAUUGCAAAAUUGGAAGAAGAAAGGAUUUUUUGGUUAGCCGCAU